GGGAGAGAGGGAGAGAGGGAGAGAGAGGGAGAGAAAUACAAAACAUCACUUUUAAUAUAGAAAUGUACACUGUCUUUUUUCCAGGACAUCAGGUGAAUUCUGAAAGAUUUGUGGCAAUAUCAAAAACAAUCACUUUGUUUUCCUAUCUUUAAAGUUAAUGUUUUUGAAGGUUGCAAAAAAUAUGUUGUUUUAUUUGUUUUGUUUGUUUUUUAUUUGUUUAAAGGAUAUUAAAGCCAUAGACAAAACUUUUUCUGAUAUUCAGCUAAGUUAGCAGGUUUCUGUUGGCUGAAAACAACACGAAUGAGAAACAAAAAUGAAAACUGCCCCAUCCAUGGAUCGGCUUGGUUGUAUGAAUAGAGUAGGGGAUCAAAUUGUUACUCUUUUCAAAAUGUACCCAGUCCCAAACUAUUACCCUUUACAGGCUCAUCAGACGCAGCUAACACUACAUAAUACAUUUCAGCAGGAUCAUACACUUGUUAUUUCUGUGGAAUUUCCUGGUAUAAAGUUCUUAUGGGGUGCUUAUCACUGACUAUUUUGUUUUUACAGUGAUAUAGAUCAUUAAAAUGUAAUAAAGUAAGUAUUCAGGGUCAGAUCUUAACAUGAAAUAGAUUGAUGUCUAAGGCCUGCAUAUUCCUGUUAGGAUGUGACCAUAUACCUCAAUAUGUCACAAUAAAUAAGCACAAAUACACAUGCUAUCCUGGCUAAAGCAAUGUUAUAUUAGUAAACUAGUUCACUGAAGUAAUACAGGUAUAUGCUGAAGUAAUACAGGUAUAUGCUGAAGUAAUACAGGUAUAUGCUGAAGUAAUACAGGUAUAUGCUGAAGUAAUACAGGUAUCCCCUUUGUUUGGCAUCAGACUUUCGAAAAAACAAUGGUGCUAAUAUGUCGGCUAUUUAAAAAUAUAUAUUUAAAACCUAGUUUGCCAAACUCUGUCUUGUCUGUGUGCGAAGCAGCUUCCCCAGAUAUUUCUUUGACAUUAAAUGAUGUGAUGCUGUUAGCUUAGUGACCAUUAGCCUAGCUAAGCUGGUAGAACAUAUACUCAUCAGUUAUCCUAGCCUAACUAAGCCCAUAGAAAAGACACUCGGUAGCCAGUUUUUGUAUGUCCUUCCUUUGUCGUGUCAGUAUUGAAACAGUGCCAUAUAGAUAUUGGUCAGCCCACUGAUGAUGGUAGCACUUCCUUAGCUAGCUGUCUUUCUGACUGCUAAUCACAUUUAGCCACUGGCACUAGCUAGCAUGCCAAGGCAGAGGGGACAGUGUUGUUUUCCCCUUAAAGGUUGACUGUAGGACUGUAGUGAGGUGAAGUUCGCUGGUACAAGUGGGAUGAAGGAAUGGUUUUGUUUUGUUUCUGACGUGGUCUUCUCUAAACGUAAGCUAAUUGUGUUUGGUAAAACCCAUCGGCUAAUAGUCUGGCACGCGCUUAUCAGAGAGGAAAAUAACUGAACACAUGUUGAGAGAACCUCAAAAUUGCCUGUGUCCUUUUAUGAAAGCAAUGGACAAGAGUAACUGGAGUUUUACUCCAGUGAUAUAGUGAUAUUCUCCCCGUGGCACAACCACCUGAACACCUUGAUGUGUUGGAUGGGAUGCUGUGAAACCUGACACGUGAUUUCAUGUGAGAAGAACAGUCAUAUGACUGUGGAGCUGUUUAUUUUAGUGUUUGUUUGUGUUUACUAACCUACCCUCAUGACGUAAUAAAGCAAUUUCAUCCAGUCAGGAUAACACUGUAUAAAAAGGUAAACUAGUGUUUUAGAUUUUUUUUUCAAAGUUUAAGCAAUGUAGCCAGCAUGAUUUUUUUCUCUCCAAAUCGUGUUGUAUGGGUUCUGUAAAGAAAAAGAUAAAAAACAUGUUUAUAUUCAGACAAAGAUCAUGUUUGGUAAAUAAUGUAUCUAGCAUGAAGCAUGAAUUAUUUUCAUAUAAGUAUCCUAGCGAGCUAAAAGGUUCUGCCUGGUUCUACGUCCAUAGGUGUGGAAUCCUUCUCUGUUGUUUUGUCUUGACUUUUUCAUUUGCUGGUUCCUUUCUUGUCAUCCUCACUCAACCUUGUUUUAACUUGGGCUUUGAUACAGUCAGACAAACUUAUUCAGGGACAAAAAGCUGGUCUGUUGGGCAAAUCUCUGUCUGUGAUAUGAUGGUACCUCUCUCUCCUCCCGUUGGUAGAUGGCAACUUCCUUCAUCCAUAGUGGAUAAAACUACCAUGUCCCAAUGUUUGUUUGUGGUCACUAGAUGGACAUGUUAGAAAGGACACAACUGACAAAAUGGUCAGAUCUUCUAGGCAUGAAGAUGAGUGAUUUCUGCGUUAAAAGGACCAAACGUCCUCUGUCUUCUCCAGCAUGGCCGUAUAGUGACCCCUGUGUCUGAUGGCUUCUCCCUGACAGGUGAAUGUUGAACCCUGUGUGAUUAAAGGUGAGGUUGGGUGGUAGUGAGUGUCUGUUCUCUCACCCUUCCUCCUCUGUGUCUGAUGGCUUCUCCCUGACAGGUGAAUGUUGAAGCCUGUGUGAUUAAAGGUGAGGUUGGGUGGUAGUGAGUGUCUGUUCUCUCACCCUUCCUCCUCUGUGUCUGAUGGCUUCUCCCUGACAGGUGAAUGUUGAAGCCUGUGUGAUUAAAGGUGAGGUUGGGUGGUAGUGAUUGUCUGUUCUCUCACCCUUCCUCCUCUGUGUCUGAUGGCUUCUCCCUGACAGGUGAAUGUUGAAGCCUGUGUGAUUAAAGGUGAGGUUGGGUGGUAGUGAGUGUCUGUUCUCUCACCUUUCCUCCUCUGUGUCUGAUGGCUUCUCCCUGACAGGUGAAUGUUGUAGCCUGUGUGAUUAAAGGUGAGGUUGGGUGGUAGUGAGUGUCUGUUCUCUCACCCUUCCUCCUCUGUGUCUGAUGGCUUCUCCCUGACAGGUGAAUGUUGAAGCCUGUGUGAUUAAAGGUGAGGUUGGGUGGUAGUGAGUGUCUGUUCUCUCACCCUUCCUCCUCUGUGUCUGAUGGCUUCUCCCUGACAGGUGAAUGUUGAAGCCUGUGUGAUUAAAGGUGAGGUUGGGUGGUAGUGAGUGUCUGUUCUCUCACCCUUCCUCCUCUGUGUCUGAUGGCUUCUCCCUGACAGGUGAAUGUUGAAGCCUGUGUGAUUAAAGGUGAGGUUGGGUGGUAGUGAGUGUCUGUUCUCUCACCCUUCCUCCUCUGUGUCUGAUGGCUUCUCCCUGACAGGUGAAUGUUGAAGCCUGUGUGAUUAAAGGUGAGGUUGGGUGGUAGUGAGUGUCUGUUCUCUCACCCUUCCUCCUCUGUGUCUGAUGUUUUCUCCCUGACAGGUGAAUGUUGAAGCCUGUGUGAUUAAAGGUGAGGUUGGGUGGUAGUGAGUGUCUGUUCUCUCACCCUUCCUCCUCUGUGUCUGAUGGCUUCUCCCUGACAGGUGAAUGUUGAAGCCUGUGUGAUUAAAGGUGAGGUUGGGUGGUAGUGAGUGUCUGUUCUCUCACCCUUCCUCCUCUGUGUCUGAUGGCUUCUCCCUGACAGGUGAAUGUUGAAGCCUGUGUGAUUAAAGGUGAGGUUGGGUGGUAGUGAGUGUCUGUUCUCUCACCCUUCCUCCUCUGUGUCUGAUGGCUUCUCCCUGACAGGUGAAUGUUGAAGCCUGUGUGAUUAAAGGUGAGGUUGGGUGGUAGUGAGUGUCUGUUCUCUCACCCUUCCUCCUCUGUGUCUGAUGGCUUCUCCCUGACAGGUGAAUGUUGAAGC